rnacentral:lncRNA from 10 species
AAGGGCCCUAGAGCCGUGGGGAGAGGCAGCCCGUGGCCUGGAGCAGUGGAGGUGUUAACCACCGAAGGGAGGUAGAAUGUUUUUCCCCACCAGAGGAGGCAGCGACCACGUCUCCUCUAUGGAGGCAUUCAAGAGCCGUCCAGCUGAAGCAGCAUCACUGUCUGAGCUCGGAAGGCACAAUCCACAUAGGUCUGCAUGGUCCACCGAGCUGCAUACCCACGGGGCCAGCGGGAGGUGGGCAGCUGCUGGGCUCUCUUCUGAAGCAGACAGGAUCUCACUCUGUUGCUGAGGCUGGAUCACAGCUCCCUGCAACCUUGAACUCUCCCUCAAGCAAUUCUCCCCACUCUGCCUUCCAAAGCACUAGCAUUAUAGGCCUAAGCCACCACUCCCAUCCACUGUAGUGUAAACUGUCUCCUUCAAUGUUUCCAAUAGUUGCGGAGCAGAUCAGAUAAGGGUUCUUCCUGUCUGUUGCUUCAAGUUUCAUUCUCUCUUUAAACAAUACAAGGUUGGCUUCCAUGGUUCCUUCUUAAAGAAUGUUGAAGGUG